UGUUAAUGGUUGUAUGUCAAAUGGUACUCCGAUACGGCAUACCUCUCUAUGUUGAAGAAAUGUUCAUAUGUCAAAUGGUGUCCUCGGGUAUGGCAUACCCCUUCAUGUCAAAUGGUGCCUCCAGGUAUGGCAUGUAUGAAAAGUUAUAAAGUUAAUGUUUUGAAAUGUAUAGCUUGAUCACGAAUGCACCUAUGACACCUAUUGAGUUUUUCAACUCACGGGUUUAAUCCCAUUUCUACAGAAUGAAGGAAUUCUACCUCGGGUAUGGAUGGAGGAGAAGAUGGAGAGUGAUGCAACGAGCCCAUGAAAAUCCGGUGAAUAAGUGAUUUGGAUUUAUUUUUAUGAAAUGUUUUCCAAUGUUAUUUCUUUAAAGUUUUGAAUAACGCAGAAUGCGAGAACAAGUUAUGUUUUCUUCAAAUAAAUUACAUUUUGUUGUUUUGAAAAAUGAUUCAGUAUUUUUGUUUAAAGUAUUUGAAAUAUUGUUAUUUAAAUUAUUAUCCAAAGAUGUAAGUUUCGGCUAAAACGUAUACACUUAUUACUAAACCACCGGUUAAGCUAAGUAAAGUAAGUAGCGUUCCGGUCCACUAGGGGUCUGGCCGUUACACUUGACAGCAAUGCAAGUGUCAAACAACGUGUCGAAAAUCAGUUUACAAAUAGCAAAGUUCCAGCGGUAAGGACCUUACUACAUGUACACUAUGGUGUACACUUUAGUUUACAAUUUGUCACGUGACAUUACCCUAUAGGACAGUUUAAAUUUCAAACAGUUUUCCCAUUUAAUUGACACUUGACAACAAUGCAAGUGUCAAGCAACUUGUGAAAAAUCAGUGUACAAAUAGCAAAGUUCAAUAAGUAAGAACCAUGCUAUAUGUACACUAUGAUGUACACUUUUGUUUACACAUUGCCAAGUGACCUUACCUUGUUGGACAAUUUAAAUUUCUAACAGUUUUUCCACCCAAUUGACUAUUGACAAUAGUAAAAGUGUUAGACAUCGAGUAAAAAAUCGACGUACAAAUAACAAAAUUCCUUCGGUAAGAACCUUGCUACAUAUACACUAUGGCGUACAUUACACUUUGCCACGUAACGUUACCAUGUUGGACAAUUUAAAUUUCAAACACAUUUCAAAUCCAAUUGACACUUGACAACAAUGCAAGUGUCAAACAACGUGUCAAAAAUCAGUGCACAAAUAGCAAAGUUCAAUCGGUAAGAACCUUGCUACAUAGACACUAUGGUGUACACUUUAGUUUAAACAUUGCCACAUGACAUUAACCUUGUUGGAUGGUUUAAAUUUCAAAUAGUUUUCCCAUCCAAUUGACACUUGACAACAAUGCAAGUGUCAAAUAACGUGUCAAAAAUCAGUGUACAAAUAGUAAAGUUCGUUCGAUAAUACCCUUGUGACAUGUACACUAUGGUAUACACUUUAGUUUACACUUCACCACAUGACAUUAUCCUGUUGAACAGUUUAAAUUUCUAACAGUUCUCCCAUCCAAUUGACACUUGACAACAUUGCAAGUGUCAAACAACGUGUCAAAAAUCAGUGUACAAAUAGCACAGUACAUUCGAUAAUAACCUUGCGACACGAACACUAUGGUGUUCACUUUAGUUUACACUUUCCCACGUGACAUUAUCAUGUUGGACAGUUUCAAUUUCUAACAGUUCUCCCAUCCAAUUGACACUUGACACCAAUGAAAGUGUCAAACAACGUGUCGAAAAUCAGUAUACAAAUAGCUUCCAUCGGUAACGACCUUGCUACAUGUACACUAUGGUGUACACUUUAGUUUACACUUUCCCGCGUGCCAUUACCCUGUUGGAUAGUUUUAAAUUGAAACAGUCUUCCAAUCUAAUUGGCACUUGACAACAAUGCAAGUGUCAAGCAACAUGUCAAAAAUCAGUGCACAAAUAGCAAAGUUCAAUCGGUAAGAACCUUACCACAUAUACACUAUGGUGUACACAUUGCCACGUGACAUUACCCUGUUGGACAGUUUGAAUUUCAAAUAGUUUUCCCAUCCAAUUGACACUUGACAACAAUACAAGUGUCAAACAACAUGUCAAAAAUCAAUGUGCAAAUAUCAAAUUUCAAUCGGUAAGAACCUUGCUACAUGUACAUUAUUGUGUUCACUUUAGUUUACACUUUGCCACGUUACAUUACCCUAUUGGAUAGUUUAUAUUUCAAAUAGUUUUUCCAUUCAAUUUACACUUGACAACAAUGCAAGUGUCAAACAACGUGUUGAAAAUCAGUGUACAAAUAGUAAAGUUCAAUCGGUAAAGACCUUGCAACAUGUACACUAUGGUGUACACUUUAGUUUACAUUUUGCCACGUGCCAUUACCCUGUUGGAUAGUUUUAAAUUCAAACGGUCUUCCAAUCCAAUUGACACUUCACAAAAAUGCAAGUGUCAAGCAACAUGUCAAAAAUCAGUGCACAAAUAGCAAAGUUCAAUCGGUAAGAACCUUGCCACAUAUACACUAUGAUGUACACAUUGCCACGUGACAUUACCCUGUUGGACAUUUUAAAUUUCAAAUAGUUUUCCCAUCCAAUUAACACUUGGUAACAAUACAAGUGUCAAGCAACAUGUCAAAAAUCAAUGUGCAAAUAUAAAAUUUCAAUCGGUAAGAACCUUGCUAUAUGUACACUAUUGUGUUCACUUUAGUUUACACUUUGCCACGUGAUAUUACCCUAUUGGAUAGUUUAUAUUUCAAACAGUUUUUCCAUCCAAUUGACACUUGACAACAAUACAAGUGUCAAACAACGUGUCAAAAAUUAGUGUACAAAUAGUAAAGUUCAAUCGGUAAGGACCUUGCUACAUGUACACUAUGGUGUACACUUUAGUUUACACUUUGCCGCGUGCUAUUACCCUGUUGGAUAGUUUUAAAUUCAAACAGUUUUUAAAUCCAAUUGACACUUGACAGCAAUACAAGUGUCAAGUAACGUGUCAAAAAUCAGUGCACAAAUAGCAAAGUUUAAUCGGUAAGAACCUUGCUACAAAUACACUGUAGUGUACACCGCAGUUUACACUUUGCCACGUGACACAACCCUGUUGGACAGUUUGAAUUUCAAACAGUUUUCCCAUCCAAUUGAUACUUGAUAACAAUACAAGUGACAGACAACGUGUCAAAAAUCAAUGUACAAAUAUCAAAAUUCAAUUGGUAAGAACCUUGCUACAUAUAAACUUUGGCGUACACUUUUGUUUACACUAUGCAACGUGACAUUACCCUGUUGGUCUGUUUAAAUUACAAAUGGUGGUCAAAUCCAAUUGACACUUGACAACAAUGCAUGUGUCAAAAAUUAGUGUACAAAUAACAAAGUUCAAUCGGUGAGAACGUUGCUACAUAUACACAAUGGUGUACACUUUUGUUUACACAUUGCCAUGAGACAUUACCCUAUUGGACAGUUUAAAUUUCAAACAGAUUAUCCAUCCAAUUGACACUUGACAACAAUACAAGUGUUAGACAACGUGUCAAAAAUCAAUGUACAAAUAACAAAAUUCCUUCGGUAAGAACCUUGCUACAUGUACACUACGGCGUACAUUACACUUUGCCUCGUAACAUUACCCUGUUAAACAGUUUAAAUUUUAAACAGUUUUCAAAGCCAAUUGACACUUGACAACAAUGCAAGUGUCAAACAAUGUGUCAAAAAUCAGUGUACAAAUAGCAAAGUUCAAUCGGUAAGAACCUUGCUACGUAUACACCAUGGUGUACACUUUAAUUUAAACAUUGCCACCUGACAUUACCCUGUUGGAUAGUUUAAAUUUCAAACUAUUUUUCCAUCUAAUUGACACUUGACAACAAUGCAAGUGUCAAACAACGUUUCAAAAAUCAGUGUAGAAAUAGCAAAGUUCAUUCGAUAAUAACCUUGCGACAUGUACACUAUGGUGUACACUUUAAUUUACACUUUGUCACGUGACAUUACCCUAUUGGACAGAUUAAAUUUCUAAUAGUUCUCCCAUCCAAUUGACACUUGAUGCAGAACUCCAAAUAAUUCUAGACACCUUAGUGGCACUAAGACAUAAAUAUUGGAUGACUAAAGUAUAUUUCAGAUUUUUAGUCUCAUUUGAGACCCAUUUUCGACAUACGAAAAAUUCGAUUUGGGAAGCAAUAUCUAAAUAAAAGUUGUAGCUCUUUGAGGUAGCUUUCCAACGCACUUUGAAUUACCUCAAUCGGAUAUCGGAAAAAGAAGUUAUGAUAAAAACACUGAAAGUCAUGCAGUGUCAACCGGACUACAACCGGUCGACCGAAACUGCUCGAAAUGAAAAUUCUCGUUUUUCUCUAGAAUUUAAUAUUUAUUUUCAUCAAUUAUUUUCUCAAAGGACCACCCACAUUUUUGGUAAUAAAAACCCCAAAAUUGAAGCAUUUAACCUCAAACUUAAAUGGCACCCAUGUUUUCUCUCUUAAAUGAAAUUUGACCCUUCAUUUGCUUUAAGUUAUGGGAUAUUUACCUAUAAAUAGAGACCUCAUUUCACUCAUUUUUUCUCACACAAAAAGCAAGAGCUUUUACAUACUAAAGAAAGAGUUUCCAAGAGAGAAAACGAGAGGGAGGAAAACUAUUUUUCCUAGAAGUUUACGAAGUGUUUUCAAGCAUUUUUUUCGUAGAAGUUUUAGGUGCUAUCAAGGAGUGUCUUCAAUAAUCAAUUCUCAAUGAUUUUCAAACAUCCAAGGAGUGCAUUUCUUUCAACGUCCAAGUUUCAUCGAAGUUUUCAAUCCAAGUUUCCAAAGUUUCAAAAGCAUCAAUCAAGGUAGGUAGAGGUGCAAUGUGUUUAAUCGUGUUAGGUUAUAAGUUUCGAUUCAUGUUAAUGUUUGUAUGUCAAAUGGUACUUCGGUACGGCAUAUCCCUCUAUGUUAAUGGUUGUAUGUCAAAUGGUACUCCGGUACGGCAUACCCCUCUAUGUUGAAGAAAUAUUCGUAUGUCAAAUGGUGCCCUCGGGUACGGCAUAUCCCUUCAUCUCAAAUGGUGCCUCUGAGUACGGCAUGUAUGAAAAGUUAUAAAGUUAAUGUUUUGAAAUGUAUAGCUUGAUCACGAUUGCACCUAUGACACCUAUUGAGUUUUUCAACUCAUGAGUUUAAUCUCAUCUCUACAGAUUGAAGGAAUUCUACCUCGGGCAUGGAUGGAGGAGAAGAUGGAGAGUGAUGCAAUGAGCCCAUGGAAUCAAGUGAAUAAGUGAUUUGGAUUUAUUUUUAUGAAAUGUUUUCCAAUAUUAUUUCUUUAAAGUUUUGAAUAAUGCAGAAUGCGAGAAAAAGUUAUGUUUUCUUCAAAUAAAUUAUAUUUUGUUGUUUUGAAAAAUGAUUCAGUGUUUUUGUUUAAAGUAUUUGAAAUAUUGUUAUUUAAAUUAUUAUCCGAAGAUGUAAGCUUCGGCUAAAAUGUAUACACUUGUUACUAAACCACCGGUUAAGCUAAGUAAAGUAAGUAGCGUUUUAAUCCACUAGGGGUCGGGGCGUUACACUUGACAACAAUGCAAGUCUCAAACAACGUGUCGAAAAUUAGUGUACAAAUAGCAAAGUUCCCUCGGUAAGGACCUUGCUACAUGUACACUAUGGUAUACACUUUAGUUUACACUUUGCCACAUGACAUUACCCUAUUGGACAUUUUAAAUAUCAAACAAUUUUUCCAUCCAAUUGACACGUGACAACAAUGCAAGUGUCAAAUAGCGUGUCAAAAAUCAGUGUACAAAUAGCAAUGUUCAAUCGGUAAGGACCUUGCUACAUGUACACUAUGUUGUACAAUUUUGUUUACACUUUGUCACGUGACAUUACCCUGGUGGACAAUUUAAAUUUCAAACAAUUUUCCCAUCCAAUUAACACUUGACUAUAAUGCAAGUAUCGAACAACGUGUCCAAAAUCAGUGUACAAAUAGUAACGUUCAAUCGGUAAGAACCUUGCUACAUGUACACUAUGGAGUACACUUUUGUUUACACUUACCACGUGCCCUGUUGGACAGUUCAUUUUUCCAGCAGUUUUCUCAUCCAAUUGACACAUGACAACAAUGCGAGUGUCAAGCAACGUGUCAAAAAUCAAUGUAUAAAUAGCAAAGUUCAAACAGUUUUCCUAUCCAAUUGACACUUGACAAUAAUACAAGUGUCAAACAACAUGUCAAAAUUUUGUGUACAAAUAGCAUAGUUCAAUUGGUAAGAACCUUGCUACAUAUAAACUAUGGUGUACACUUCAGUUUACACUUUUCCAUCCAAUUGACACUUGACUACAGAGCAAGUGUCAAACAACGUUUCCAAAUUCAGGGUACAAAUAGCAAUGUUCAAUCAGUAAGAACCUUGCUACAUAUACACUAUGGUAUGCACUUUAGUUUACACUUUGCGACGUGACAUUACCCUACUGGACAUUUUAAAUUUCAAAUAGUUUUCCAUCUAAUUGACACUUGACAAUAAUGCAUGGGUCAAAAUACGUGUCAAAAAUUAGUGUACAAAUAGCGAAGUCCAAUUGGUAAGAACCUUGCUACAUGAACACUAUGGUGUACACUUUAGUUUACACUUUGCCACGUGACAUUACCUCGCUGGAUAGUUUAAAUUUCAAACAAUUUUCCCAUCAAAUUGGAAAUUGAGAACAAUGUGUAGAACCCCAAAUAAUUUUAGACACCUUAGUGGCACUAAGACAUGAAUAUUUGAUGACUAAAGUAUACUUCAGAUUUUUAGUCUCAUUUAAGACCCAUUUUCGACAUAGGAAACAUUCGAUUUGGAAAAUGAUAUCUAAAUAAAAGUUGUAGCUCUUUGAGUUAACUUUCCAACGCACUUUGAAUUACCUCAAUCGGAUAUCAGGAGAAGACGUUAUGAUAGAAAUACUGGAGGCUAUACAGUGUCAACCGGACUACAACCGGUCGACCGAAACUUCCUGAAAUGAAAAUUCUCAUUUUUCUCUAGAAUUUAAAUAUUUAUUUUCAUCAAUUAUUUCCUCAAAGGGCCACCCACGUUUUUGGCAAUAAAAACCCCACUAAAUUGAAGCAUUUAACCUCAAACUUAAAUGGCACACAUGUUUUCUCUCUUAAAUAAAAUUUGACCCUUCAUUUGCUUUAAGUUAUGGGAUACUUACCUAUAAAUAGAGACUUCAUUUCACUUAUUUUUCUCACACCAAAAGCAAGAGCUUUUACAUACUAAAGAAAGAGUUUCCAAGAGAGAAAAAGAGAGGAAGGAAAACUAUUUUUCCUGGAAGUUUAAGAAGUGUUUUCAAGCAUCAAUUCUCAAUGGUUUUCAAACAUCCAAGGAGUGCAUUUCUUUCAACGUCCAAGGUUCAUCGAAGUUUUCAAUCCAAGUUUUCAAAGUUUCAAAAACAUCAAUCAAGGUAGGUAGAGGUGCAAUGUGUUUAAUCGUGUUAAGUUAUAAGUUUCGAUUCAUGUUAAUGUUUAUAUGUCAAAUGGUACUCCAGUACGGCAUAUCCCUCUAUGUUAAUGGUUGAAUGUCAAAUGGUACUCCGGUAUGGAAUACCCCUCUAUGUUGAAGAAAUGUUCGUAUGUCAAAUGGUGCCCUUGGGUACAGCAUACCCCUUCAUGUCAAAUGGUGCCUCCGGGUACGGGCAUGUAUGAAAAGUUAUAAAGUUAAUGUUUUGAAAUGUAUAGCUUGAUCACGAAUGCGCCUAUGACACCUAUUGAGUUUUUCAACUCACAGGUUUAAUCCCAUCUCUACAGAUUGAAGGAAUUCUACCUCGGGCAUGGAUGGAGGAGAAGAUGGAGAGUGAUG
rnacentral:lncRNA from 1 species